AAGAAAAAGCACAAUAGAUUAGUUUACAAAAAAAGUGAUAAAGUAUGAGAUAAAGGUAGAGAAAGAGGGAGAGAGAAAGAAAGAGUGUGAGCGAGCUGGAGAGAGAAAGAAAGAGUGUGAUAAUAAUCGGAAGAGGCCUCGGAGUGUUUAG